rnacentral:rRNA from 1 species
GGCCUGGCUGAGCGGUCUGCCACAGUGUAUGUACUGCGUUGGCCGGGUCUUUCCUUCUGGAGAGCCGGCAUGCCCUUCACUGGGUGUGUCGAGGAUCCAGGACUUUUACUUUGAAAAAAUUAGAGUGUUUAAAGCAGGCUCACGCUUGAAUACAUUAGCAUGGAAUAAUAGAAUAGGACU